AUUGAACGCUGUCGGCAGGCCCAACACAUCCAAGUCGAGCGGAGCGGCGGACCGGUUAGUACUGCCUAGUAAUCUUCCUGGUAGCGGGUGAUAACCUCCGGAAACGUGCGCUAAUACCGCAUACUAUCAGCUUAGCCUAGGUCGGCUUCGCUGGUCGGUGGGGUAAGGGCCUUCCAAGGCGACUAUCCGUAACUGGUCUGAGAGGAUGAUCAGUCACACUGGAACUGAGACACGGUCCAGACUCCUACGGGAGGCAGCAGUGGCGAAUAUUGGACAAUGGGCGAAAGCCUGAUCCAGCCAUGCCGCGUGUGUGAAGAAGGUCUUAGGAAUGUAAAGCACUUUAAGUUGGGAGGCGUUACCAACAGAAAAAGCACCGGCUAACUUCGUGCCAGCAGCCGCGGUAAUAC
rnacentral:rRNA from 1 species